GGCUGUGAGGGCGAUCUGACUGUGACAUUUGUCACCCCACUGAUUGCCAGGGUUGAUUCUCUGCUGCUCUGGCUGGCUAGGCGGGUGUCCCCUUCCUCCCUCACCGUUGCAUGUGCAUCCCUCCUGAAGCUGCCGCGCUUGGUCUGUCAAAGAGGACGGCCUUCCCUGAAUAGAGACGGACCAGUCUUUGGUCGAGGGUAUACGAGUAGCUAUGCUUCCCUGCUAGAACCUCCAAACAAGCUCUCAAGAGUGCUAAACUUGUGACCUAAAUAAAGAUGAGAUAAUGUAGAUGCACCCUGUUAUCUCAAAGUGGAGGGUCUCA
rnacentral:snRNA from 1 species